CAGCCGCCGCGGGAAUACGAAGGGUGCGAGCGUUAAUCGGAAUUACUGGGCGUAAAGCGUGCGUAGGCGGUUUGUUAAGUCUGCUGUGAAAUCCCCGGGCUCAACCUGGGAAUGGCAGUGGAUACUGGCAAGCUAGAGUGUGUCAGAGGAUGGUGGAAUUCCCGGUGUAGCGGUGAAAUGCGUAGAGAUCGGGAGGAACAUCAGUGGCGAAGGCGGCCAUCUGGGACAACACUGACGCUGAGGCACGAAAGCGUGGGGAGCAAACAGGAUUAGAUACCCCGGUAGUCCCUGUCUCUUAUAC
rnacentral:rRNA from 1 species